rnacentral:rRNA from 1 species
UGGGGAAUAUUGGGCAAUGGGCGAAAGCCUGACCCAGCGACGCCGCGUGAGGGAAGAAGGUCUUCGGAUUGUAAACCUCUGUUGAUAGGGAAGAAGACAGUGACGGUACCUAUCGAGGAAGUCACGGCUAACUACGUGCCAGCAGCCGCGGUAAUACGUAGGUGGCAAGCGUUAUCCGGAUUUACUGGGUGUAAAGGGUGUGUAGGCGGGACAACAAGUCAGAUGUGAAACUUAUGGGCUUAACCCAUAACCUGCAUUUGAAACUGCUGUUCUUGAGAGUCGGAGAGGUAGAUGGAAUUCCCGGUGUAGCGGUGAAAUGCGUAGAUAUCGG